CGCCGUGACCCGACGGCGAAGCGCAAGGACGGACAACACAUCGGGUCUGUUUCAGGGACGAGAUUCCCCAUGUUUGCAGCGUACGUGAGAUUAUUAGUAUUUUUUUUUUUCUCCGCAGGGUUUUGAAUAAAACCCCCGCUUUUGAGGCAGAUGUGGCAAUGCAACCCCAAGCGCAAGUUCUUGCCGUCGUUUUUAUCCGUUUUCCCGCCUCACAGGUGCACUCAAACUACAGUCAACUAAACGAGCAGACCACAAAGCAGAACCUUCGGUCUUUGUGGUCUUCACCUUUGGGG